rnacentral:lncRNA from 10 species
AUUGGGAAUGGAGGGAAAUAAAUGACUGGAUGGUCGCUGCUUUUUAAGUUUCAAAUUGACAUUCCAGACAAGCGGUGCCUGAGCCCGUGCCUGUCUUCAGAUCUUCACAGCACAGUUCCUGGGAAGGUGGAGCCACCAGCCUCUCCCUGACAAGCAAAGUGGAUCAGCAAAGGCUGCAGUCACCAGCAUCUUUUCCAACCUUAAUGAACUGUAUCCUCAAAAGAACACUAUCAGACUGGCUCUGCCGACUUCCAGUUCUGGAACAAGAUGGUUAAACUCAUUUUUCCCUGCUCUGCUCCUCUAAAUACAACUAAGUACCUUGGAAACUAUUCAGCAGACAAUGAUAAAGGGCUCUGAAAGCUAGAAGAAAAGGUGUACUUGCAAGAAACCUCAGGACUUGAGUAACAGCAACAUGGAGCCACACCGGUGAGGGCAGGGAGAGGGUGCUGGUUCUGAGCCAACUUUGCAUGGAAGGCCCAGCAGACCACGCUCAUUACUUACAGCCAGCAUCAUCGGGGAACUCCGGCACAGACCUGUAGUCAGUGCCCCACAGCGCCCCAGCCUUCUCUCCCGACAGGAGCGGCCAGGACAGGGAGCAGAAGGUGACUGCUGUGCUGCCUGGAGCUCUUCUGUCCGGAGGUUUAGUGAAACUAGAGAAACUCAGUG